AACGCGAAGAACCUUACCAAGGCUUGACAUAUACAGGAAUACGGCAGAGAUGUCGUAGCCGCAAGGUCUGUAUACAGGUGGUGCAUGGUUGUCGUCAGCUCGUGUCGUGAGAUGUUGGGUUAAGUCCCGCAACGAGCGCAACCCUCGUUCUGUGUUGCCAGCAUUUAGUUGGGGACUCACAGGAGACUGCCGGGGUUAACUCGGAGGAAGGUGGGGAUGACGUCAAAUCAUCAUGCCCCUUAUGUCUUGGGCUGCACGCAUGCUACAAUGGCUGGUACAAACGGCUGCAAUACCGCAAGGUGGAGCGAAUCCGAGAAAGCCAGUCUCAGUUCGGAUUGGGGUCUGCAACUCGACCCCAUGAAGUCGGAGUUGCUAGUAACCGUAGAUCAGCAACGCUACGGUGAAUACGUUCCCGGGUCUUGUACACACCG
rnacentral:rRNA from 1 species